rnacentral:rRNA from 1 species
AUACAGAGGGUGCGAGCGUUAAUCGGAAUUACUGGGCGUAAAGCGCGCGUAGGCGGCUUGGUCAGUCGGAUGUGAAAGCCCUGGGCUCAACCUGGGGAUUGCAUUCGAUACUGCCAAGCUCGAGUAUGGGAGAGGGAAGUGGAAUUUCCGGUGUAGCGGUGAAAUGCGUAGAUAUCGGAAAGAACACCAGUGGCGAAGGCGACUUCCUGGCCCAAUACUGACGCUGAGGUGCGAAAGCGUGGGGAGCGAACAGGAUUAGAAACCCUAGUAGUCC